UGCGUAGGCGGUUAGAUAAGUCAGAUGUGAAAUCCCUGGGCUUAACCUGGGAACUGCAUUUGAUACUGUUUAGCUAGAGUAUGGUAGAGGAAAGCGGAAUUUCCGGUGUAGCGGUGAAAUGCGUAGAUAUCGGAAGGAACACCAGUGGCGAAGGCGGCUUUCUGGACCAAUACUGACGCUGAGGCACGAAAGCAUGGGGAGCAAACAGGAUUAGAUACCCUGGUAGUCCAUGCUGUAAACGAUGAGAACUAGCUGUUGGAAGGAUAAGCCUUUUAGUAGCGCAGCUAACGCGAUAAGUUCUCCGCCUGGGGAGUACGGCCGCAAGGUUAAA
rnacentral:rRNA from 1 species